UACGAAGGGUGCAAACGUUGCUCGGAAUUAUUGGGCGUAAAGCGCACGUAGGCGGCUAUCUAAGUCGGAUGUGAAAUCCCUCGGCUUAACCAAGGAAGUGCACCCGAAACUGGAUAGCUUGAGUACAGAAGAGGAUCGCGGAAUUCCCGGUGUAGAGGUGAAAUUCGUAGAUAUCGGGAGGAACACCAGUGGCGAAGGCGGCGAUCUGGGCUGAUACUGACGCUGAGGUGCGAAAGCGUGGGGAGCAAGCAGG
rnacentral:rRNA from 1 species